rnacentral:rRNA from 1 species
GGAAGGGGUGUAUUUAUUAGAUAAAAAUCAACUUUGUUGGUGAAUCAUAAUAACUUCUCGGACCGCAUGGCCUCGUGCUGGCGGUGCUUCAUUCAAAUAUCUGCCCUAUCAACUGUCGAUGGUAGGAUAGAGGCCUACCAUGGUUGCAACGGGUAACGGGGAAUAAGGGUUCGAUUCCGGAGAGGGAGCCUGAGAAACGGCUACCACAUCCAAGGAAGGCAGCAGGCGCGCAAAUUACCCAAUCCCAACACGGGGAGGUAGUGACAAUAUGUAACAAUAUACGGCCUUAUACGUCGUAUAAUUGGAAUGAGUACAAUUUAAAUCCCUUAACGAGGAACAAUUGGAGGGCAAGUCUGGUGCCAGCAGCCGCGGGUAAUUCAGCUCCAAUAGCGUAUAUUAAAGUUGUUGCAGUUAAAAAGCUCGUAGUUGGC